UACGUAGGGUGCAAGCGUUGUCCGGAAUUAUUGGGCGUAAAGAGCUCGUAGGCGGUUUGUCGCGUCUGCUGUGAAAACUCGGGGCUUAACUCCGGGCCUGCAGUGGGUACGGGCAGACUAGAGUGUUGCAGGGGAGACUGGAAUUCCUGGUGUAGCGGUGAAAUGCGCAGAUAUCAGGAGGAACACCGGUGGCGAAGGCGGGUCUCUGGGCAACAACUGACGCUGAGGAGCGAAAGCGUGGGGAGCGAACAGG
rnacentral:rRNA from 1 species